AAGAGGGCCUUUGUCCCACCUGGACCAGCCCAUGUUUCCUUCUCAUAUUCAUUUUACUCCCAUGAUCCCAUGAGAUGAAUCAGGCACUUGAAUUUUUUUUUUUCAAAUGACAUUAUUUAUUGCACCAGAAAUCUUGUCAUCCGAGAGGAACCACAGCCAUUUAGGCCAUCUCUUCAAGCUCCAUCUCCAGUCCUUGUCCUUGAUGAUACUGUUUGCUGCAGACUCACCCCACAUCCUUCAUUUCCCUUCCAGGCUGCAGACAGCUUGAGCCUAUUCUAAAGGUCUCAUUAUUUAUUCUACUUAGUUCUUUAUUAUUUGCUAACUAUAAAAUAUUCCCAGGUUGCUUUCUGUAUGUUCAUCUUGUUUCCUCAGAUAGCUUUUUUUCACUACUUGUCAAAGCGAAGCUGACUAUGAAAAUUUCAUAAGCACCUACGGUGUGCCAGGACCUAUGCAAGGAAAACAUCUCACCCUGAACACAGAAGAAUGCAUGCUCUUAAAGUGAUCAGCAGGGAAGACGUGGGCUGGGAGGAUGCUGCACCAGUUGUCUACAGGGCUCCCUGCUCAGAGCAAGUUGAUGGGCAGGAAACCCACUGGAGCCACAGGGGCCUUUGAGACGCACCUCACUAGCCCUGAAGAGAUUCUUCCCUUUGUGUGCAAGAUGCCUCCUCCUCUAUUCUCAGGCCAUCCACAUCCCACCAACCCUGAUGGGCCCAACUGAAAUCCCACCUCCUCAACAAAACCAUCCUUGUGUACAUGUUUCUUCCCAGCUCCACAUUCAGAGACAUCGCAAUGGUAGCUUGAAAUCAAUCACUGUAGGAAUAUUUACACCACAGAAAUUGGCAAACAUUGCAAAUCAGACCCUUAUCUUCGCUGUUGUUUUGCAGGCUGGUUUAUCAGCACAUCACUGCUCAUACCUAAAGCCCCACCACUCGUUUGGCCCCAACAAUUAAAACCAUACUUUGGCCAUGUUUUAUGAUGUGCCCAUGCUUGUCUCUCAGUGGAGACUGUAGGAGGAUCAUCAAGUUAUUUGUAUCUCCACAGCAUCAUCAUGGUACCUCGUAAAUAGCAAGUAUUGUCCAAUAUCUGUAUCUGUCAAUGUUGUCCGUUUCAUCUAUUAAUAUUUGGGGUGUACUUUUUCCCUAAAAGUUUUCAGAUGAUAUCCAAUUGGCUAUAAGUGAAUGUUUCAAAGAGCUACUUGUCUGUCAUGCCUUUCUUCAUUCAACCAUUUAUUUAUACCAGUGAGCAUUUGCUAUGUGUCAGGCAUUAGUUCAAAGGCAAGAGUACUCAGAGGUAAUCAUAACAUAGGAGGUCUCUGCCCUAGGGGAGCUCACAUUCUAGUCAGGAGAGACAGAAAAUACACAAGUAAACAAAUCCACAAAGAAAUUAGAAACAGUCUGAUAGCAGCAAAGGAUACAAAAAGAAGAACCCAGAAGGAUGGAAUAGAGGAGCUGGGGCAUGGGUGGGGCACAGUCUCAGGUUGGGAGGUAUAUUGAUUUCCUAUUGCUGCUAUAACAAAUAACCACAAAUGUUUUGGCUUAGAACAAUAUGAAUGUAUUCUGUCAUUGUCCUAGAGGUCACAAGUCUAAAAUUGGUUGUGAUAUGGUUUGGAUUUAUGUCCCGGUCCAAAUCUCAUGCUGAAUGAUAACCCCCUUUGUUGGAGUAGGGGCCUAGUGGGAGGUGAACAGAUUAUGAGUGGAUUUCCCUCUUGCUAUUCUCACGAUAGUGAGUGAGUUCUCAUGAGAUCUGGUUGUUUAAAAGUGUGUGG
rnacentral:lncRNA from 1 species